CUUAGGUUUAAGUGGUUUGGAUUUUGCAAGCCUUACUUUUAGUGGAGAAGGUAGCCCAUGGUUGCCCAAGGUACCAGAGAGCUGGACAACCUGCAGGUCCUUAUCAAUUUCUGGAGACUCAUCCACAACAGUGGCCAACAUUUAGCAUGUGGAGGGAUGAAAGUCCCACACCAGAAGCAGGUGGAUGAUGAACUGCUGAGAACCUCCCUGUCAAGCAACCACCAUCUGCAAUUUUGGGUAUGUUCAAUGAUUCCCCUCCCACUCUGUGGUCCAGGUGAGAGAUCUACCAGGUGAGACAGGUCCAUCUCCCAUCUCUUGAAGACAACUGCAUCAUGAGGCCACUCUGGAAUGCAUGGGAGCUGAUCCCAGCUUCCUGUUCUCCUUGCUCUCUCCCAGUCCUCUCACUGCACAGGGCUGGUGGGAUCUGGGCUUGUUGUUGACAGCUGUUUAUCUCCUCAGCUCCACUUCCCAUGCCAAGCCCCUCUGUUUGUCUUCUGGGAUAUGAUGCCUCCAAGUAUCCCCAGUGCAACCUUAGGUCAGGAAAAGCUGGCAUGAAAUUUUGGCAUCUGAUGACUCCAGGUCCCCCAUGACCACCUCCUCUGUGCAGGUCUGUGAACUUUCUUAGCUCAGAGCAAGUAAGGGGGGGAAUUCGAAACUGUGCUGCCAUCAGCUUCCUGUCUGCAGGGAAAUUGUGGAUUCCCCCAAACUGGUAUUUUGUCAGAAAGUUACAGGGGAAACAUUACUUUCCCAUAAACUAGGAGAAUGCCAUGUUCAUCUGCAUGCCAGGUAGAAGGGAAGCAAGCAAAGAGAAAAAACUUAUUCCCUAUCCAUCCUUUCCAUCCCAAAGGAAAUAGUCCUCUGACUUUUCCUGUGCUGGCACAUCCUAAGCACCAGUAAGGUAAUUUUUCUUUCUAGCUAUAUCCUGAGUCUCUGGCUUUCCACAACAAAAAUGCCAGUGCUGUCCCUGUCACCAUCUGCAAACCUUCUUAACAUGGCUGUUGUCCCCACUCAUGGGAUAGGGACAGGGCUAUCCAUUUUGUGUAGUCCUACAGAAAGCACAUCAGCUCCAGUGGAAACGAGCAAUGGAUUUCACUGGAGAGGAGAGCUGCAGACUGUCGUCUCAUCAUGGCUGUUUUCCAUGCUGCUAUAUUUGUUUUAUUUUUGGUGACAGAAUUAAUGACCCCUCAAAUGAGUAUUUAAAGCUUCCUUUCUUUUUCA
rnacentral:lncRNA from 1 species